rnacentral:rRNA from 1 species
GAUGAACGCUGGCGGCGUGCCUAAUACAUGCACGUCGAGCGAACGGACGAGAAGCUUGCUUCUCUGAUGUUAGCGGCGGACGGGUGAGUAACACGUGGAUAACCUACCUAUAAGACUGGGAUAACUUCGGGAAACCGGAGCUAAUACCGGAUGAUAUUUUGAACCGCAUGGUUCAAAAGUGAAAGACGGUCUUGCUGUCACUUAUAGAUGGAUCCGCGCUGCAUUAGCUAGUUGGUAAGGUAACGGCUUACCAAGGCAACGAUGCAUAGCCGACCUGAGAGGGUGAUCGGCCACACUGGAACUGAGACACGGUCCAGACUCCUACGGGAGGCAGCAGUAGGGAAUCUUCCGCAAAGGGCGAAAGCCUGACGGAGCAACGCCGCGUGAGUGAUGAAGGUCUUCGGAUCGUAAAACUCUGUUAUUAGGGAAGAACAUAUGUGCAAGUAACUGUGCACAUCUUGACGGUACCUAAUCAGAAAGCCACGGCUAACUACGUG